GACAGGAUCCUGGUCUUAGGGUAAGAAAAAUGAGAAUCAAGAUAUCUAAGAAGGUACUCAGACAGAAGGAACAAGACAAAUCCAGUUCUAGCAAAUGGAGCGUAUGAUUUCUCCACAGGCUUAAAAUGAAACUUGGUUAACAGAUCUGAAAGGAAAAAAAAAAAAAAAAUCAAAGCAAAAUAAGCAUCAAUGUUAACUUGCUACUUGAUCUACUUGGGGCCCCCUGAAGCAUUAGAAUUAGAUUAGGAUUGAGUUAAAAUCAAGCAAGACCGAAUCUUUAGGUGAAGGCCUAAUAAAUACAGAAAUAGAAAAAAAAAAAAAAAAAAAAAAAAAAAAAAAAAAAAAAAAGGAUGGGUCUCUGGGGAGAGAGGAAAGCCUUUAUGGGCAAUAUAAAGAGGCCACUACACAGAUAAGCAUUGUGUUUCUUCUCUUGACUUGGCUAUCAAGGGAGCAUAACGAUAAGUUUUAUGCGUAAUUACUGUAAACUUCUCAGCACUUCCCACAAAUAUUUUCUGACCUUUCUUAUCUUCAAUUUAAGUGUUAACACUAUUGCUUCAGAUAAAACCCGAAACCAAAACAAAACUGGAUCCCUUCGGAGUCUCUGUAAUUCAUCUCACAGACAGAUGAGCAACCUGCAAAAUUCUCAAGAAGAGGCCAAGUGAUCUGUCAUCAACAUGGGAAGGAGGUUGGACUAAGUGAAGAUCUUUCUCAUUGUACUAAUAAGCUAAGAGAACAUCAUGAAAUUUCUCAAACUGUGUUCUCAUGUGUUGGGAGUUAAAGCAGAAGAAGCAAUUGACUGUGGGAACUUGACCAGAAUCAAAGUUGUCUAAAAUGAUGAACUGUUUUUCUGUGUGAUCACACUAGGUCCAACAGGGCUGCCUUAGCACACUGGUCAAGUCUCUGGAUGUAACAACCUAGGGAAAAGUUGGUAAUUUUCAUCUUAUCCAGAAAUCUUUAGAUUUCAUUUAAAUUGCCAUUUUGAUGAUUGAUGAGACAUUUUUCAUUUAACACUGUUCCACUAAUUAGCUGAAAGCCUCAUACAGUAACCUAAGCAUAGGUUAUAAGUAUUGUGUGGUGAUAGAAAUAACAUCUAAAAGAAAAAUUAUUUGAUGACACUAUUAAAGCACAGUAAGGCAAGCCUUGUUCAGGACCAUUGCAAUAGGUGUAGGCACCACUGCAGUGGGAUGUUGCAAGUGAAGGGCCUGGAACACAGCCUGGGCAGUGGGAAUUUAUAGCUGGUGGAGCAGGGUGGAGGUCAACUGGAGGUGGAGGUUACCUAAGAGGUAACAUCAGGGGAAAGGGGGACUCCUGGCUAAGCCAACCUCACAGGAUUCUUGCUGAAGGCAGGCCAGAGUGAUCAAACAUCACCUGGGGGUGGUGGAAGACGAGGAUCCUGGUCAGGAGUCAAGAGUGAUUAGAUAUCAAGCACUGCAGGGUGGCGGUGGGACUUCCUUUACAAGGAAGGGCACAGAUGGGACUAGAAGAAGGUUCAGGAGCCUGACUGAGGUUUGGCCAAGAAUCUCUGUCACCUUCAAGGCUUGAGCUAGAUCAUCUUCCCUACCUUUGCUGCAUAUUAGAUGCAUCUAGGAAGCUUUUAAAAAUAACUGAUGUACUCCCUUCACCCCUAGAGAAUGAAAUUUAACAGAUCUAUGUGAGCAUCACAGCAUUAAAUGCUUUUUUAAAAAUCCUAGGUGAUUCCAAUAGGAGUCCAAGGUGGAGAACCACUAAAUGACUUAAUCUCUAAGGUAUUUCUCUAAAAUGUCCGGAUUCUAUGCUUAGUCUCAUUUAACUACAAACAAGUAUAUAGUUUGCUUAAAAAAAAAAAUAAAUUAGGAUAGUUGUAGCCA
rnacentral:lncRNA from 1 species